GAUGAACGCUGGCGGCGUGCCUAAUACAUGCAAGUCGAGCGAACGGACGAGAAGCUUGCUUCUCUGCUGUUAGCGGCGGACGGGUGAGUAACACGUGGAUACCCUACCUAUAAGACUGGGAUAACUUCGGGAAACCGUAGCUAAUACCGGAUAAUAUUUUGAACCGCAGGGUUCAAAAGUGAAAGACGGUCUUGCUGUCACUUAUAGAUGGAUCCGCGCUGCAUUAGCUAGUUGGUAAGGUAACGGCUUACCAAGGCAACGAUGCAUAGCCGACCUGAGAGGGUGAUCGGCCACACUGGAACUGAGACACGGUCCAGACUCCUACGGGAGGCAGCAGUAGGGAAUCUUCCGCAAUGGGCGAAAGCCUGACGGAGCAACGCCGCGUGAGUGAUGAAGGUCUUCGGAUCGUAAAACUCUGUUAUUAGGGAAGAACAUAUGUGUAAGUAACUGUGCACAUCUUGACGGUACCUAAUCAGAAAGCCACGGCUAACUACGUG
rnacentral:rRNA from 1 species